rnacentral:lncRNA from 1 species
UGCGAUAACCUGACACUUAAACGAACUACUUCUGCCUGGCGAUGCCGGGGCCCUUCCCACGCCCUGCCUUCUCUCAUUUCCUCGGCCAUUCUUCAGUGACUCUUUUAAGACGUCUUUAUUGAUUGUGCCAGACGCUGUUCUAAGUGAAAUGCACGAAGCCCCUGGGAAUCACGGAGGUGACAUUCUGGGAGGGAACGUUACUCCCUGCUUUUUUACAGAGAGCAGCUGACAUAAUGAAUCAAUCCGCCCAGGCCCAGUUGCAACUGAGAAGACAAAGCCCAAACCCAUGAGCCUUGGGCUGUCUGGCCCCAGGAGAGAGGCCUCCUGAGCAGAUGCUUAGAAGAUGAAUAUAUUACUUUCAUGAGAUGUGGACGCCUCGCUCCCCUCGAACAUACCCUGGCACUGCCAGCUAGUUGGUGCCACUGUCACCUCUGUAAAGCUCAGGAAGAAAGGAAGACGGUGUUUACUACACUCCACGUGCCCCUGGGGGCUGUGAGCUGUAAAAUAUCGCCUCCUUAAUCCUCUGACCAUCACCUCUGAGGACAGGGUCAAGCAACUCCUUUCCGAGGUGGGGAAAUGCAUGCUGAGAGAGGCCGAGUAUCUUGUCACAAGUCACCCAGCUGGGGACAGUGGCACUGGAACCUGAACCUGAAUUCUCAGGCCCUGAAGUGUGUGCUAGCUCAUGCUUUGCUCCAUGUGAGGUCUGGAGUUUGCGGGGAACAGAACACUAGAUUCUCUGUGAUGGCUGACAGGGUUGGCAGCCAGGCUAGGAGGUCCUCUGCUGGCCCUGCCGGAUCUCACACUGCAGGCCGAGGAUGUCUAGAGACAAGGAGCCGCGGAGCGAGUUCAGAACGACACCAAGGGAGUCGAGAAAUCUGA